CCUCUCCAUGACAAAUCAUCACCAGUCACAAAUUCUUUACUGCUUCUUCAAUUUACUAACGACACCAGAUCGACAUCUCUUUACCUUCGCUUUCUCACCCCAUCCUCGCUAUAUAACAGUAGGUUCAAGUCAGAUAUAAUCCUCACAACCUGUCGUUACUUUCAAGACACCAAGUCUCCACGGCCUCUUAUCGCCGUUAAGCCAUUGUUCCUCCGGUGGAGCUAAUUUACAAAUUGCUUCUCUAAUUCAGUAGUUUCUAAACUAAAUCUAACCAACAUCGAAAUAAGGUUUUACAUUACUCUGGUUCAACAAGCCAUACCAUAGGGACGAUCUCUUAUGAUUUCAUUUGGUUUACAGGAUUAGUCAUAAACGAAGGUAUCUCGAAGCCUUCUUCACGGAAACCCCUUCCAAGCACGAAGCCAUCCAGGUUUCUGAUGUUACGCAGUCGUGGUUGAUCUCGCACGGUUCCGUAGAUGUCAAAUUUACGAUUUUACUUCUUUCUGCUUAUAUUUGCAUGUUUGCUUCUCUCCCUCUGACUUCUCAUGGGAUUAGAUUCCUGACACUAGCCAAGCUUUUCCCACAGCACAGCAGGUCACCACCGGCUGACUUAUGUAGCUGACCAACAUCGCCGGUGCAGUUAUCCACGAUUCGUUCCAGUUUGGGUCGGACGCUUUUGAAACGCUUUAAAAAGAAACAACAAAAGGAAAGUGGGUGAGAAGAAGGCACAUACCACCAUGAGACGUACGCGUAGGUGCCUGGCAACUCAACCAAGGGUAGUAUUUUGCUAUACUCGGCUUAUAUUUUGUUACUCUACGUUUUCUUUCAAAAAAUAUGUGUUUCGUUAUGCAUACAUUCAACUGUCGUUGGUCUGAUUCUUUUUCAAUUCAGAGGAAAGAUUUGCUAUGUUUUUCUUUCUUUGGCUUUAUCAAAUCGGACAAGGGACAUACAGUAGCGUGUUCGGUGCAUGAGAGCCUGAAACAUGAAGAAUAGUGGCUUCCAAGAAGGCUAGGUUCGACAAUUUUGAGCCAGAUAGUGUUUGGUCCAUUCACAAGACUGUGUGUGAUCAUCCCAGCAUUAUCAAACUACAAGGUUUGGUUAUUUGAUCUUCGUAAGAGGAAAAUGAGCUAUUUGAGAAACUGACAAAAUUGGAUUUCUGGAAAGCGAUUCGAUGAGACGCAGACAAGAUGCAAAUGCUCAUGUGUGUGAAACUAAAAGUAGAUGUAUGUGCAUGUGCCCGUGCCAUGAAGGGAUUUGUGCAUACAAGUAUUGGGUUUGUUCUUUUGCAAAAUGUCUAACAUAGCGGAGAAGAGAUCAUGGAAAGAGUUGGAUUUCGUGGAUGAUGGUCAAAAGGGUUGUCUAAAGUUGAAAUCAUUUUGGUUGGGGAAAGAAGUUUGUGUUAUGGUCCAAACUGCAAAACUAUUGUAAUUUUUAUGUUAUUCUUACACCCAGAAAAUUUAAAAAGUAGAAAAGAAACAUGAUGAGAAUCUUAUUUUCUUGUAAUUCAAGAAUAAUAAUAUUGGUAAAUAAUAAUUUUCUUUUGUUA